CUCUCAUGGCAUAACUUUCCCAAUCUCAAUUUGGCAUGUCCACUGACUUGACUACCAAAAAUCAUAUCCCUGGUGUGUGCUUGCAUAUACCCAUAUUUAGUACAAGUGUGUACUAAUUCCAUACAAACAUCUACUUUUAGGUGCAUGCAUAGGUGGACGGUAGAGUUACAGGUUCGUUGUCAGCAUUCAUCCGAAGUUUGGUAGGUCCUCAUGCUUUUGAGUCUGGGGUCUAGAUUCCAAUCGUGACACAUUAAAAGUGACUUUGAUAUAGCUGACCAACUUGAUUGGGAUUGGAUGGUAGUUGUUGAUUGGGAUUUCGUAGAUAAUAUUUGUUGCUUAAAUUGGUUUACUGGAUUCACUUUGUGGUUAACUUUUUAGAUGAAAAUUGACAAGUGAUUGAAUUACAUUGAUUAGUAGUUCCUGCAAGUGGAAAUUCCCGACAACAGAUUCCUUUGCAACAAGCAAUAGCAUUUUUCAUUAGGUUAAAUUGUGAAAGUGGUCAUUCUUAAUCUUAAAGCUGGGUAUCUCUAAUAACAAUUGUUGCAUUUUAUCAAUAUAUUCUUUAUGACAUUUUCUUAGCAUGGAAAAGAUUGAUAGUUUUGAAGACUUAAACUUAGACAACCAUUAUUAGUUGAUAUUUUCAGUUGGUGAUUGUUCUUGUUAUUAGUUUGAGCAAGAAAAUGAUGAAAAGGUCGCAGCAGGUGCUGCCUGAUGUUUUUACCUGUAGAAAUACUUAUCUGAAGGCUGGAGAUUCUCAAAUCAGUUUCCAUCUUUAUCAGACCUACUAUCGAGGAAACAGAAAAAAUGGUCAAUGAUGGAGCUUCAGAAAUCUUGAAUGCAUUCUGUGUCUAUGAGCAAUUUUGAUAGUAAUUUUUUUUUGUUAUGUUGUAUUGAUAUUCAUAAUGCCUUAAAGGGUGUUUAUUGGUGUAAACUUAAUGUUGUUUGAAUUCUUUAAAAAUGUUUUUGAACAAAAAUAUCUUACUUGUCAAAAUUAGUGUACAUCAGAAAUUUAUUUGUAUAUAAAAUUGCAAACUUCAAUAUAU